ACUUCUCCUUCCCUUGUUUCUUCUUUGGCCUUUCUUCCUUUUCCUCUUUUAUCAUCUCUUCUGCCCCUUCCCCCUCCUUGCAUCCACCUCCUCUUCCUUCCCCCUUUCUAGUCUCCUUCCUUCGUUUUCAUUAUUGGUUAUCUCUUUAAUUUUAUCUCAGUUUUUCCUAAGCUAGAUCUCAACUAUCCCUGAACUUGUCUCAGAUUUAGGCUUCAUGCCCCUUAUCUAGCCUUUUUGGCUUGCUUUUAUUACUUUCUGUCUUUUAAUUUUCCUUGCUCCCUCCUCCCUAGCUGUGAUAUACUUCAUCCCCAUCCCACCAUGUGCUAAGAUCAGUAUGCUUCAAUAAGAAAUUGGAUAUCAUAUCCAUUGUCCUUCCCCCAAUUGGCAUGUCAGAUCCCCAUCAAGGCCAAGUGUUUGGUUCAGAGUUUGGCUUCCUCUGAGAAUGUGACGGCGGCGAUAGUGUGGUUUAUGCUAGUAGAGAUUAGGUUUUUUUUGUUGUUUGUUUUUGCAACCUUUGGGCCUAAGCUUGUGUGAGUUUCUUGUUGUAUCUUGGACUGCAACUCUCAUUUUGUUUUGACCUUUUACUUUAUUUGGAAUUGUUUACAUGGUUUUUUA